rnacentral:rRNA from 1 species
UACGUAGGGUGCGAGCGUUGUCCGGAAUUACUGGGCGUAAAGAGCGCGCAGGCGGUCGUUCAAGUCGAGUGUGAAAGCCCCCGGCUCAACUGGGGAGGGUCAUUCGAUACUGAUCGACUCGAAGGCAGGAGAGGGUAGUGGAAUUCCCGGUGAGUGGUGAAAUGCGUAGAUAUCGGGGAGGAACACCAGUGGCGAAGGCGGCU